rnacentral:tRNA from 3 species
GGCUCGAUAGCUCAGUUGGUAGAGCAAAGGACUGAAAAUCCUUGUGUCGGUGGUUCAAUUCCACCUCGAGCCACCA